AAAACCUUCCAAAGACGGACACCAAACCGGAUAAACACACGAACCCCCCUCAACAAGGCUGAGACUGAAGUGAUGAACUGAGGAAAUAUUUGUAACCUAUCGGCCAUGACAAAGGGUUCAAUCCAUUGUGUAAAAAGACCUUACAGAUCAGUAAGAAAAAAGCAAACAAAUAGCAAUUUGGAAAAGGACAGAAAGGCCAUGCGCAGAAGAAGUGCCCACAGGCAUCCAGCAUAACGCCGAACACGGAAUCCUGUCGAAGAGGCAGGAGGCAAAUGACAAGAUGCCGCUCUGCCCAACAGGCUGGCACAGAUUUAAAAGUGAAUACCCAGUAUUGCCGAGGGUGUGGGGAAAGAGCCCUAUGGGUCACAGUAUGACUCCGUGCAGUGUCUUGGGGCGGGAGGGGGGCAACUUGGCAACGUCUAUCAAGUUCUAGAAUUGUCGCAUGUGCUUCUCCUUUGAUCUAAGAAUCUUUAUCGUCUGCAAUACCAGGAAGUACCCAGGUGUCACCUGUCCCCACUGUGACCCUAUGCCAGAAGUUUGACUCCAUCCUCAAGGUCACAAAAUGGUCACUGGAGUGCCAGCCAUCGCGUAUACACUCCAGGCAGGAAGAAGAAGGAAGAAAACAAAAAAGGCACCCGCUGUUUUCUUUUUUGGAGCUUUCCUGGAAAACCUGCCCAGCAGCCUCUGCUUCUAUGUCAUCAGCCAUCUUUAUUGGCUUGGGAAGUGGGAAAUAGAAGUCUUUUGGCUGCUCACCUGGUCACUUUGAGCAGGCUCUUGUUCCACAUCCAAUCCCAGUUUUCUUUUACCUUGUUUGGGAUAUUGAGGGACAAGGAACUCUCUGAUGCUUGCAACUGCUAAAAGCAAGUCAGCUUGAUUUCUGAAACAAAAUGCUUUAAAACAGGGGCUUUGCUAAUG